ACUAGCAUAAACAUUAAGAGAGGGUUGCAGCUACAAUUUUGGGAGCUCUGUCAACAAAAUGAAGCUACUAGUGAUUACAGCUGUGUAGGGCAAGCCCUCAUCAUUGGUUUGUUUGUACUAUGGGUGAGAGCUGCAGUUCAUAAUACAUGGGUUAACGUGUAUUCUGGGUCACUGCCACUGACCGGCUACCCUGAUACGUAUUUAUGUGGACCAAACACAACAUUGAGAUGUAUUUAUAUAAAUGACAAGACAAUUGGCGUUAAAAUUCAAUGGGUUCUGUACACUGAUGACGGUAGAAAUGAGAAAGUUUUAAAAUAUCGAUUAAUAAAUGAUGAUGGAUUGACAGUGUUCAUGGAUUACUUGAUAACAACCAGUGGAAAUUAUUCUUGUGGAUAUGAUAAUAUCCGUUACAAAACUGUUAAUAUAUCCAUCAGUGUGUCAAGUGAGCAUUGGAGUGGCUGCCAGACCACAGAUAUUAGAGACUACGGCCAGACUAAUGACAAGCACUAAAGCAUUUUUGUGAACAUUAGAUCUAAUUAAAUUUUUUGCUGCUAAAAGUCUAAAAAUUCAUUGUUCACUAGUUAUUAGUGAUGGGCGAUAUGGCCAAUUUUCUUAA
rnacentral:misc_RNA from 1 species